GGGUGCCAGCCCGCUGCCUGCUGCUCUCCGCUGUUCUGAGAUAAAUAGACGCCACAGUUGCCACUCGCCAACAGAUUUGGCGGCGGACUCAUUCGUUUAGGAUUUCUGCAGGCAAAGUAGUGGUCACAACUUGAUGGGGCACCAGGAAAAAGGUAGUCAAGUAACAGGUGAAUCGAGAGUUUACGAACUUGGCUUACGGACCUGAUUAAAAACGAACACCGGUAAAAAGUAAACCUGCAUUUUCAUCCAACCUGAUCAAUCAAGCAAGUUCUACUUUGUAUUCGGAGAAGAUUUACUUACA